rnacentral:rRNA from 1 species
GCAGAUCCAAUUUUCUGCCACCGAAUACAUUAGCAUGGGAUAAUGGAAUAGGACCCUGUCCUCCUAUUUUCAGUUGGUUUUGGCAGCGCGAGGACUAGGGUAAUGAUUAAUAGGGAUAGUUGGGGGCAUUAAUAUUUAAUUGUCAGAGGUGAAAUUCUUGGAUUUAUGAAAGAUUAACUUCUGCGAAAGCAUCUGCCAAGGAUGUUUUCAUUAAUCAAGAACGAAAGUUAGGGGAUCGAAGACGAUCAGAUACCGUCGUAGUCUUAACCAUAAACGAUGCCGACCAGCGAUUAGGAGACGUUGAAUACAAAACACCACCAUCGGUGCGGUCGUCCUUGGCGUC